rnacentral:lncRNA from 1 species
AUUAGUAAGAAAUGGGAAGAUUGAAUGUGUUCCUGGAGGACCCAACUUGAAGAGGAAAAAUGUGGAUGGAAUCACACUACAGGAAAGAACAAAGGCAAAAGAAAGACCCGGAAGAUGAGCCAGUUGAUCCUGAGGCUAAAUGAGGUGUUUUUGCUCAAAAGUAGUUUUAGCAGUGGUUGCGAAAGAAACAUGCUGACAGCUGAGGGAAGACUUCUGGGAAAGACAAGUAUGAUUUUAUUUUAUCAAGAGAAAACUGAGACACUAGAAGGUUCUGGAAUUUACCCCAAAUCGUGGAGAUGAUCGUGUAGCCGAGUUGAUUGACAUUUUCUGACUCUAAUACCGUGGUACCUAGAUCCAGGUGGGGA